GACGAACGCUGGCGGCGUGCUUAACACAUGCAAGUCGAGCGAUGAAGCUCCUUCGGGAGUGAAUUAGCGGCGGACGGGUGAGUAACACGUGGGUAACCUGCCUCAUAGAGGGGAAUAGCCUUUCGAAAGGAAGAUUAAUACCGCAUAAGAUUGUAGUACCGCAUGGUACAGCAAUUAAAGGAGUAAUCCGCUAUGAGAUGGACCCGCGUCGCAUUAGCUAGUUGGUGAGGUAACGGCUCACCAAGGCGACGAUGCGUAGCCGACCUGAGAGGGUGAUCGGCCACAUUGGGACUGAGACACGGCCCAGACUCCUACGGGAGGCAGCAGUGGGGAAUAUUGCACAAUGGGGGAAACCCUGAUGCAGCAACGCCGCGUGAGUGAUGACGGUCUUCGGAUUGUAAAGCUCUGUCUUUAGGGACGAUAAUGACGGUACCUAAGGAGGAAGCCACGGCUAACUACGUGCCAGCAGCCGCGGUAAUACGUAGGUGGCAAGCGUUGUCCGGAUUUACUGGGCG
rnacentral:rRNA from 1 species